rnacentral:rRNA from 1 species
UACAGAGGGGGCAAGCGUUGUUCGGAAUUACUGGGCGUAAAGGGCGCGUAGGCGGCCUUCUAAGUCGAACGUGAAAUCCCCGGGCUCAACCCGGGAACUGCGUCCGAUACUGGAAGGCUUGAAUCCGGGAGAGGGAUGCGGAAUUCCAGGUGUAGCGGUGAAAUGCGUAGAUAUCUGGAGGAACACCGGUGGCGAAGGCGGCUUCCUGGGCCGACACUGACGCUGAGGCGCGAAAGCUAGGGGAGCAAACGGG